AUGCGCCAAACUUGCUUGACAACACCACGCGCACUGACUGCUUUCAACGGCGUUAAAAAUCAAAUAUGUCAGUCAUUAAACGUCAAGAUCUUGCAAAAUGUUCAGAAAAGUUGUUGAAAAGGAAAGAAUGCAAAUUCGAAAAACAGGAAAUAGAGAAGCUGAUUACAAUGUUUGCCAACAUCACUGGCGGUUUGAAUAAUAAGUUGGACCGUACAAAGUUUCGUGAUAUUCUACAUAUCAGCUUCAAUAUGACGGAUGAUAUCCUCAUGGAUAGAGGGCAUUUGACCAGGAUAGUGAUAAUUACCUGACCCAUGAGGAAUGGGUUCUUGGCCUGUCUACUUUCUUGAAGGGUGCCCAAGAUGAUAAGAUCAAAUAUUGUUUCAUUGUCUAUGAUCUGAAUGGAGAUGGAUGGAUAUCAAGAGAAGAAAUGUUCCAACUUUUGAAAACCUCAAUUCUAAAAGUGAAGAGUAAAUAGAAAAAAAAGUGCAUUCCUCUGAAGAAGAUCAGGAUGAAAACAUCAAGGAACUGGUGGAACUCAUUUUGAAGAAGAUGGACCACGACCAUGAUAGCAGGCUCAGCAUGAGUGACUUCAAACAGGCCGUGGAGGCAGAAAUCCUACUACUGGAGGCCUUUGGUCCAUGUUUACCAAGUCCCAAGCUCAGAGACGCUUUCCUACAGGAGUUGACUCAAGAACAGGGAAAAUUCUGAAGACUACAUGUUCUGUGAAACAACAAAUAAUACUGCUACAAACUCUGAGGAAAAGUCUCGUUUAUAAAAUUGAAUAUUUUAGGGGCAACCUGUCUUUUGCAGAUCCAAACUGGCAAAUCAUAAGAUUCAGUAGAUAAAGCUUCAUUUGUACAUACACUCAUUUAAUUUUAGGCGAGGGACCAUCACAUUAUGAACUCAAAAGACUGUGAUAUUUUCGUGCAUUAUAAGUUGUGUGCCUUUUGUCUUGUUGUUAGCUAUAGCUGUACUUCUGUCACAUACUAUUUAUACAUAAUAUUAUCUGUUUAUUGUAAGAAAUACUCACAAUAUGUUGACAAUCACAUUGAUUGAAAUGAAUAAAUAAAACAAAAAAACAUAU
rnacentral:misc_RNA from 1 species